rnacentral:lncRNA from 7 species
AGUCCACAUAGUAGGUCCUGGGCAGACACUCACACACCUUUGAACUGUGAUAAGGAGAAUAUUAUUACCCUACUGGUGGCCUGGUCAGAUAAGCUGUUUGCGAAGGACAGUCUGCAUUUCUUUCAAGCUCUCAUUCUGCUGCACCAGUAACUCCAGAUUCCAUUCCCAAGGAAAUCAGCUGCUUCUUAUUUGAAACUGCAAAGAGCAAUGGACAGUUUGGGGAGAGACCACGAUUAUUCCAACACUUCUCUGCCUUCCUCUACAGCCCACGAGGAGAACGCUGAGCCAGGUUCCACCAUGUUGCACCGCUUGAGAGACCGGGAGCUGCUCCGGAAGAGAAAGGCAGAAGCCGAGGAGAAGGAUUCGAUUCAGUGGGCUCUGGGGGAGCAUGAGAGAAGCAAGCGGCAGAGGAGAGGCCAAGGUGCCAGGCGAGGAAAGGGCCGUGAGCAUGUCGUGGAGCCUGCACCACAGUCAAAACCACAGCCAAACCCUCAGCCCCCGAAGAAGGAGGAAGCUGAGAAGAUGUCCUCCGCGGCGAUGCAGCAAGCCGAGUCUUCCCAGAUGGACGUGCAGGACCUGUUUGCUGGGGUGCAGCUGUCAGAUCUGGAAGGGAUACUGGCCUCUGGGAGCCAGAGUCCCCUGGGUGAAGAGGAUAUGCUGAAGCUGGCAGACGAAAUACAAGAGGUCCUGAAUACUUCACUGGAAAAGAACGAACCAGAUAACGACGUGUACUCAUCAAGCCUAUUUUAAAGUUUUAUUUAAAAUAUAUAUGUAUUCUUCUAAUUUUUAUGACUAAGAAAUACUGAAAAGCCUUGCAGAGAGACUUAAAGUUGCUCCUUCCUCAGCAACAAUAAAAACCUGACUCUCUCU